GCGAGCUGAGCUUCGGGAGGGGCCUGUGUUGGCGGGAUCCCGGGUGGGGGAGCUGGAGUCCCGAGGCUCAAAGGUGGCGUGGUGGCGGCUGUGCGGGGCUUGCAGCUCCGGGUGUUUGAGUCCCCUGCUCCGAACACAUGCUGCCUCCCGAACCGUCCUUCUCCAGUCCUCCGCGGAGCCCACAGUAGCUAUUGCUAUUGCGUAGUACGGAGACUCUGCUCCUUAAGAAGAUCAAUUCAUGGUUUUUUAUUACAUAAGAAGAAAGUAUGACAAACAUUGAUGCCCAUUUUGAAUAGUUCUCCUCUGGACAAUUCUUCAGAAGUCCUCCAGCAGCCUUUCUCUCAUGUGUCCUUGCCCAGAAUUGUAUUCCAUGCCCAUUUGUUAAGUAAUCACUUUCAAGGGCAGCCUGGGUGGCUCAGCAGUUUAGUGCCGCCUUCAGCCAGGGCGUGAUCCUGGAGACCCCGGAUUGAGUCCCACCUUAUGCUCCCUGCAUGGAGCCUGCUUCUCCCUCUGCCUGUGUCUCUACUUCUCUCUCUCAUGAAUAAAUAAAUAAAAUCUUUAAAAAAAAAAAAAGUAAUACUUUCAAGAAGGAAAAGAAUUGUCAUUAAUUACACUCUUGGAGCUGAAAAAAGGGCCCACUUUCCCCUGAAGCGUAUGGUCAACUAACAUCUACAAGAAUGGAUGGAAGGAAAUAAGGAUACAAGGCAGCUACUAAAUAAAGUAUCUUCCACUUGGAAAAUAUCUAUACAACAGAAAACUAUUUAACUUGCAAACAGAUGUGAAAGUAAGUCACACCUCAACUAUGUUAUGCCUCAAUCUUUAAUCCUUAAAUGGCAUCAUUCAGUGUAUUCACCAGUUAUUUUUACCAGCUAAAUUUACCUUACUUGGUUGGGUCUUUUUAAAUGUUAAAAUAAGAAUAAUGCACAUUUGUUGCAAAGGUAUGAUAUAUGGAUAAGGAAGAUGACAAAGAUGUUAAAGUCUUCCCAGAUUCUACCAACCAGAGAAGAAACUACUGUGAACAUUUUUAUACAUCCCUUUAGAAUUCUCCCCAUACUAAGUGUAUUCAAUAUAUUCUAACAGAAUUACUAUAAUUCUAUAGUAUAACCCCCUUCUUUCACUUAAUUUACAAAUAUUAAUAAAGAUCUACAUGAUAGGUUUUUUUUUUUUUAAAGAUUUAUCCAUUUAUUUGAGGAGAAAGGAACAAUGCACAUGUGUGCAAGUGGACGACGGCAGAGAGAGAGAGAGGGAGAGCAGACUCCCUGCUGACUGCGGAGCCCCAGUGGGGUUGACCUCAGGUGCCCAAGAUCAUGACCUGAAAGGAUAUCAAGAGUUGGACACUUAACCUACUGAGCCACCCAGAAAUAGAACAAUCUUAAAAUUUGUAUGGAACCACAAAGACCUGGAAUAGCCAAAGCAAUCUUGAGAAAGAAGAACAACUCUGAAGGCAUCACACUUCUGGAUUUCAAAGUAUAAUCCAAAGUUAUGCUAAUCAAAAUAGUAUGGUACUGGCAUAUAUGGUCAAUUAAUCUAUGACCAAGGAGGAAAGAAUACACAAUGGGGAAAAGACAAGUCUCUUCAAUACAUGGUGUUGGGAAAAUUAGACAAC